UUUCCGUAGGUGAACCUGCGGAAGGAUCAUUGUCGAAACUUGCCAAGUAGGGUGACUUGAGAACUUGUAUCAUUCAAAAGAUGCGUGUGUUGGGGUUGUGCGCUUAUGUGUGGCCUCGACGAACAACAAACUCCCGGCGCCAGGUGCGUCAAGGAAUGCCAAAUUGAGAUUGCUAGCCUCUACAGCUAUUUUUGGUGCUCGUUGGGCUGUGUAAGCACCUUCAGUUAUUAAAAGACUCUCGGCAACGGAUAUCUUGACUCUUGCAUUGAUGAAGAACGUAGCGAAAUGCGAUACUUGGUGUGAAUUGCAGAAUCCCGUGAACCAUUGAAUCUUUGAAUGCAAGUUGCGCUUGAAGCCUUUGUUGGCUGAGGGCACGUCUGCUUGGGUGUCUUGCAUUGUGUCGCCCCACUCGUGCUUUUGAGCAGGAGCGGAACCCGGCCUCCCGUGACCCCCACUUGGGUGUGGUUGGCCGAAAUGUCUUGCCCUGAUGAUGGUGCUUGGCAAGGUGUGGUUGUAGCUUGUGCAAAAUGUCUUGUCUUGUCAUCUUGUUUGUGGCUGGUGGGCCCCUUUGAGCUCGUCUUCUCAAUUGCGACCCCAG
rnacentral:rRNA from 1 species